rnacentral:rRNA from 1 species
UACGAAGGGGGCUAGCGUUGCUCGGAAUUACUGGGCGUAAAGGGCGCGUAGGCGGAUAGUUUAGUCAGAGGUGAAAGCCCAGGGCUCAACCCUGGAAUUGCCUUUGAUACUGGCCAUCUUGAGUUCGGGAGAGGUGAGUGGAAUGCCGAGUGUAGAGGUGAAAUUCGUAGAUAUUCGGCGGAACACCAGUGGCGAAGGCGACUCACUGGCCCGAUACUGACGCUGAGGCGCGAAAGCGUGGGGAGCAAACAGG